UACAGGGGGGGCAAGCGUUGUUCGGAAUUACUGGGCGUAAAGGGCUCGUAGGUGGCCAACUAAGUCAGACGUGAAAUCCCUCAGCUUAACUGGGGAACUGCGUCUGAUACUGGAUGGCUUGAGUUUGGGAGAGGGAUGCGGAAUUCCAGGUGUAGCGGUGAAAUGCGUAGAUAUCAGCAGGAACACCCGUGGCGAAGGCGGCUUCCUGGAUCACCCCUGACGCUGAGACGCGAAAGCGUGGGGAGCGAACGGG
rnacentral:rRNA from 1 species